UUAAUGUGUAUGAUAAUGGGUCCAAUAGUCUAGAUAAUCAUUGGAGGCACCACAGGCCUGGUGUUUAUCUGGGUAUUGGAAUUAUCAUUCAUGAUAUGAUGAUUUAAUUAUAACUCUUUGAUGGAUGGUCGGUAGGUCGAGCUACACUCGAGCCUAAUCAUCUGUUAAUUAGAUGCACUGAGUACGUUCAUGUUAAUAGUUGAAUGUAAUUAAGAUUUUUAGUGGAGGUGCUACAUGCCUACUGA
rnacentral:lncRNA from 1 species